GCUGUGGCCCAGUGGCAGAACAUCUGCUUGGCAUGUGGAAGGUCCCAGGUUCAAUCCCCAGUAUCUCCU
rnacentral:tRNA from 1 species